CCUACGGGUGGCAGCAGUGGGGGAUAUUGCACAAUGGGGGGAACCCUGAUGCAGCGACGCCGCGUGGGUGAAGGAGCGUUUCGGCGCGUAAAGCCCUAUCGGCAGGGAAGAAGAUGACGGUUCCUGACCAAGCAGCCCCGGCUAAAUUCGUGCCCGCAGCCGCUGUCAUACGUAGGGGGCAAGCGGUAUCCGGAUGUACUGGGUGGAAAGGGAGAGCAGACGGCAAGGCAAGCCAGGAGUGAAAGCCCGGGGCCCAACCUCGGGACUGCACUUGGAACUGCAUGUGUGGAGUAAAGGAGGGGCAGGCGGAAUUCCUAGGGUAGCGGUGAAAUGUGGAGAUAUUAGGAGGAACACCGGUGGCGAAGGCGGCCUGCUGGACUGUGACUGACGUUGAGGCCAGAAGGCGUGGGGAGCAAACAGGAUUAGAUACCCCAGUAGUC
rnacentral:rRNA from 1 species